GUUUUGCGCGAGGGGUGGCAACGGAAAUCCUUGGCGUAGGUACGGAGCCAAGAUUGCAGUGAACGACCCGACCCCGA
rnacentral:misc_RNA from 1 species